GGGGAUCGAAAGACCUUGUGCUUUUGGAGCGGCCGAUGUCUGAUUAGCUAGUUGGUGGGGUAAGGGCCUACCAAGGCGACGAUCAGUAGUUGGUCUGAGAGGACGACCAGCCACACUGGGACUGAGACACGGCCCAGACUCCUACGGGAGGCAGCAGUGGGGAAUUUUGGACAAUGGGCGCAAGCCUGAUCCAGCCAUGCCGCGUGAGUGAAGAAGGCCUUCGGGUUGUAAAGCUCUUUCAGUCGAGAAGAAAAGGUUGCGGCUAAUAACUGCAAUUCAUGACGGUAUCGACAGAAGAAGCACCGGCUAACUACGUGCCAGCAGCCGCGGUAAUACGUAGGGUGCGAGCGUUAAUCGGAAUUA
rnacentral:rRNA from 1 species